rnacentral:lncRNA from 1 species
GUUAGGUAUCUCCAUUAGAAUUCAAAGAUCCAUGAGUGUUAGUGUUGCCUUCAAAGUUGUCAUACUGGUAGGUUAUAUAGAUUUUUAAAAAACACUACUGCCACUUAUCAAGACAAUUGGAGAGCAUUUCUUCUAGAAUUAUAUUUGAAGUCACUUUGAAGCCACCACACUACUUCCAAAAUAUAUUGGAGAAAAUAGGCUUGUAGCACAACCUCUUAGUAAAGAUAGAAGCAUCUACAAAACUUCCUCUUGAAAGGAGCUUAUGUCCAAUCCCCUUUGCAAUUAUACAGUCUAGUCUACAUCUAAAGAAAGACCAUUCCAUUUUGUGUGUAAGAGUUUUGUUUUUUUGUUUUUGCUUUUUAGGAAUGAACCAGCGGCAAAUUCCCAGGUUAGGGGUCAAAUCAGAGCUACAGCUUCUGGCCACAGCCACAGCAACACUAGAUCCAGAUCUAAGUAGCAUCUGCAACCUACACCUCAGUUCACAGCAAUGCCAGAUCCCCGACCCAUAGAGCGAGGCCAGGAGUCGAACCUGCAUUCCCAUGGAUACAGCUGGAAUCAUUUCCACUGUGCCACAAUGGGAAUGCCUGCCUGUGUUGAGUUUUAACUUUCUUACUCAAGGACUUUUGGAUAUUAGCAUAACUCAAAUUCACUUUCAAAGGAUGGCUCUUUGCCACCACUUAGUAAUCAAUGAAUUAGCUUUUCCUGCUCAAAAGUAGAAAAUAGCUCUUCAAUAUACUCAUAAAACCAUAUAGGGAAAAUAUGUUUUAUUAAUAUACCCAAGACCUUUAUUCCCUCUUUUUAAUUGUAAGGAUGGAUUCUCUACAUAACUAGAGAUAUUCAAAUUGUGAAUUACCAAAAGAACAUUAAUAUUGCAUUUAAACAAAAUAGAUAUUUCAAAAAUUAUUAGAUGUUAAUGAUAAGGGACUAAAUCAAUUGUGCUACAAAAUAUAGCACAGUAUAAAGAAAUAUCUCAACUUUUUACCUACUUCAAUAUAAAAAAAUUUAGUAGCAACAAAAUUUUUAAGUAAAAAUAGAAAAUAAAAAUAUUUUCAUAUCAAGCUGAUAUAUCAGUGUUGAAUUUUUAAAAUAUUCUCUAUCAGUGCUUGUCUAUGUACAUAAAUAAUGAUCAUCAUUUAGAUGUAAUCUCAAUCAUAUUUUAAUAAAUAUAUUAUUAACAUUUUCUGCCUUCCUUUCCUUCCUUCCUUCUUUCCCUCCCUCCCCCUUCCUUCCUUCCUUCCUUUCUUCGUUCUUUCUUUUCUUCCUUUUGUUUUUUUAAAGGCUGUACCCACAGCAUAUGGAAGUUCCCAGGCUGGGAUGGAAUCAGAGCUACAGUAGCCAGCCUAUGCCACAGCCACAGCAAAGUGGGAUCUGAGCCAAGCCUGCAACCUACACCACAGCUCACGGCAAGACUGGAUCCUUAACCCACUUAUGGAAGCCAGGGAUAGAACCCUCAUCAUCAUGGAUACUAGUCGGACUCAUUUCUGCUAAGCCACAACAGAAACUCCCUAUUAUUAUCAUUUCAGAUUUAAGAACAUUUUUCAAGACCCUUUAAAAACAAUACCUAUAGGGAGCCCCUACUGGCUCAGUGGGCUAAGGAUAUAGCAUUGUCACUACGGUGGUGCAGUUCACCCUUGUGGCCUGUGUUUGAUCCCUGGCCCAGGAACUUCCACGUACCACUGCUGUAGCAAAAAUAAUCAAACAAACAACAAAAAAAAUAUUGCCUAUAACUAAAGGUAAAUAAAUCUAAAUUUUCUCCAAGGCUUUAAUUUCUUUCAAAUAAGCCAUAAGGUUAUGGCCACCAUAAAUUAGUUUAAACUAACUUAAAAUUAUCAUUAUAGCCAAACAAAUGAAAAACAACAAAACCUUUGAGCGUUGUAACAAUUAUCCAUGGCAUUUUCUCUUUGCCAGUUCAGUUACCUUAUAUUUGUAUUUUUCUAUAUAACUAUAUUCUAAUAAAUAUUUUUCACUAAUAUUUAGUUCCUUUGAAUUUUUUUCAGACUGCCAAUGACUGUGUGUGCUAGGUUUUUUCCCCUCUCAAUGGAUUUUUAAAUUUUUUAAAAUACUUUUUAUUUUUAUAGUCAAAUCACAAAAUAGUCGAUAACUUGGUUAAAAAGUUUUUGGUUUUAUCUUUGCUUUGUUUCUCUCUGCUUCCAUCAUCACCCUCUCUUAUUCAAACCCACACAGUUACACAUCAAAACAAACAAACAAAAAAACAACAACCCACGAAACAACAAAACCAGCCAUCCAUGUGGCAGGGAAAGAAGAGCAGGAGUAUGGGCCUGAAUCACUGUGCUGAAUUAUGAGCUAGCAAUGCACAGGAGCUGUUUUUCCUGAAUCAGUAAUCUCAUAGUUCAGUGAUAAUUCCACAGGGAUCAAUGAAAAAGGAUGAAAGAAAAGAAAAUGAAAAUGUUCCUGUCAUGACACCAUUUUAUAAGCAAUAUUUGAACAUCUUGCAAACUUUUAAAAGAAUGUUGCUCUUUGCCACUCAUCAACUGUAAAACUAUCCAUGCAAUUUGUUAUUAUAAAGUUUACUCCCAUAUUACAGAAAGAUUUUUAUCAAUGGCUGUGGAAAUUAAAUCAAUAAAGACUUCCAAAGGAGCGUCUAUAAAAUAUGUCACAGAGAAGCAGCUGGGACCAAUUCACUUUGUAUGCAUAUACAUAUAGAUGCAUAUCUCAUUCCAAAAAACUUAAGAGAGUUCAUAAAAUUACAUGAAAUGAAGCCAACGAAGCAUUUAAUAUACAAAAAUGAGGUAAACAGAAAAUAAAAGUACAAAAGGAAAUUAGAGCUAAGAGUGAGAACAGUAUAAAAAUAAUAUCUAUGAAAAUGUACAAGGCAGAUAAGUAUUUUUACUUCCCCAGAGCCAUUACCCCUUUCUGUUUUAUGUAUUUAGCCUUUCAGCUAAGAUUUGCACUGGUGUCAUUCUAGGUAAUGAGAUUGAGUAGCAAUAUUUUGAAUGACUUAUCAAAAAGAAUUUUUUGAUAAUUGUGAAACAAUUUUAUAUAAUUCUCUGACAAAGACCUUCCUCCCUUGCUUUAUGUCUUUAAAUAUGAAAUGAGAAGUAAUGUUCGGAGCCCUUGCAGUAAUUUUGUGGCCAUGAGGACAAUAGAGAUUUCAAACUUAUAUUGCAAAAUCAUAAAGCUAUUACCAAAAAAUAUCAACCAUAAUAUACCACAAGCUUGUUAUGGGAGAAGCAGGCAUCUCUGUUUUAGUAAGCCAUAAUUAAUCUAGUUUUCAGUUACUUGUUGCUGAUCACAUAUUAAUUUAAACACACUAUAUUCUAAUUGAAAACACAAUGACAUUAAGGAGAAAUCUACCUUUUAAAGAAUUUUGAUACUUGAUACAAUCAGGUGAGAAUAAGGGAUUUAUAAAGUUAAUACUUAAGAGAUUGUAAAGGAAAACAUAACUUACUACUUUCUCCACCAUCACUCAAGGGAGUCAUCAUUCUUGCCUGAAAGCCUUUAAAACACAAAAGCUAUCAACCUAUGACUCAUGGUGGCAGAGUUAAUUAUUAUCACUGUUGGGAAGCAGAGGCAAAAUUUUGGCACAAACAUCAGAAAAUGGCCCUACACAAAAGUCACUUUUUACCAUACAAGAAAGCAAAUAUUUCUUUUUUUCUUGAUUUUUUUUAACUAUAUGUGCUCUAGAAAUGCAAAGAAGUAUAUCUAAAAAGGAAGCCUCUUACAUAUCAUUGCCACACCAUGAUUACCUACAGACCAGACAAUGAGAUUAGCCAUUUUUGUCUACAAGUAAGUGGUAUGCAAAAAAUGUACAAUUUAAGAAAUUAUUUGUCAAUUCCAAAAAUUAACAUUGUUCUUAUGUAAAGUCUGCUUCUUUUAAUUCAUGUCUGAAUGUUGAUGGAAGAUAGAUGAACUGGGAAAGUACUGAUCCUUGGAAUUUUUGAUAGAUGACUGAUAAUGGAAAAAAUGGAAGAAGAUAGAGAACUUUAUUUAUAGAUCUUUCAUAGGAUCAUCAAUUCCCUCUUGAGAAUGGAAGAGUUUUAAUAGUGACUAAAGAAUUAGUCUUUUUAAUGAAGUCUUGCAAAAGAAAUGCUGUAGAAAAUAUGAUUGUCCUUUAAAUCAUCCCUUUAAUUACCUACUGGAAAAACAAGAGACUAACAGAUUCUGGAAUGUUAAAACUAGAGGGGACCAGAGAAGCCACCUAGUUCAUUCUCAAUAUAUUUUAGACAGUGAAAGAGAAGCUUGCACAAAGCUUCUACAGCUGAUGUCAGAAAAUGUUAUGGUAAUUUAAAUUAACUAUUUUCAUAUGUAUAUCUUUAAGACUAGAUAUGACAUGUUUUUAUCAGUCAACAAAAUUGAAAGUAUUGAAAACAGUAUAAUUUUAUUUACAUAAUUUAAUUUGAAUUAGAUUGUUAAUGUCAGCAAAAGAUUUAUCAACAUUUUUAACUUUAUCAACAUUUUUAACUUAGCCAAAACUAACUGAUCCUAUUUUGAGACUGCUGUUUCUUUCUUCCUUUUAAGGAACUGUCCUCAACAAAGUUUACUUCGUAUUGAAUGCCCUAUUUGUAAGGCCAUUAACUUCUUACAUCUGGAAUACUUUAAGUAAAAAUUAAAGGAUCACUAGAUGGACUGCUAAUUCUAUGAAGGAACUCUUUAAACAAAGAUAUAUGCUGCCAUAUAUGAAUUAAAAGAGAGUCAAUGAUAUAUACAGGAUUAAAAGAAGUGUGGGAUGAGUUUGAAUAUAAUUUCUUUACAAGUAUAAAGUUACUUAAGAAUUUGAUAUUCUUCCUUUACUCCAGGAUGCUUUCUUUGAAGAGCAGAGAUUCAAAGUUUAUUUUCUGUUAUUGCUUUCACUUGUUUCAGUAGUACUCUUUCCACCAUAUUUAUUUUAUUUACUUGUGAACUCAGCUGGGUAUGAAUAAUUAGGCUUUUCUUUUUUCCCUUGAGUUUU